UACGGAGGGAGCUAGCGUUGUUCGGAAUUACUGGGCGUAAAGCGCACGUAGGCGGCUUUGUAAGUUAGAGGUGAAAGCCCGGGGCUCAACUCCGGAACUGCCUUUAAAACUGCAUCGCUUGAAUCCAGGAGAGGUGAGUGGAAUUCCGAGUGUAGAGGUGAAAUUCGUAGAUAUUCGGAAGAACACCAGUGGCGAAGGCGGCUCACUGGACUGGUAUUGACGCUGAGGUGCGCAAGCGUGGGGAGCAAACAGG
rnacentral:rRNA from 1 species